UGGACACUUUAUGACCUUAAGACUGUAACUUUGUAACCAGGUAAACCCCCUUUAUAAAAGUGAACCCAUUUCUGGUGUUUUGCAUCCUGGCAGCAUUAGCAAACCAAAACAAUGCAGGAACAGGCAUGUGUGCAGAUUACAUCAGGUUGAAGUUAAAAAAAAAUUACUAAAUUCCUGGAAACAGCAGGGGAUUAUGGAGAGGGUUGGGCAAGAGAACAAAAGGGUUGUAAAUUUAACAGAACGAUUUUUCAGGGACUGAAAAUCAUCAGCUGUAACUAGAAUGUUUUCUAUUCCUAUAUCCUGAAUUCCUCAGUUUGAACAAAUGGGGGUAUUGCUGACAUUACUAGCAGGGAGAAAAUUGUGAUGUAGGAGUUUGACAAUGAUUGCUCUCUCAGUCUUGUCUCACAAAUUCACUACUAGUGAUAUUACUCCCAAAGUACAUUAAUAGUAAAAGUGAGUAAUAAUAAAUUUGGCUCAAAACCAAUACUUCUUGAGGUCCAAAAAUAAGUUUUAGGCUACAUAUUAUGCUGACUUUUUCUUCCAUAUGUAACCCAAAUAAUGUCAUGAAUCCUUUUCUGACAAAUAUGCUUAGAAAUAGCCACCAAAAUAUUUAGGAGGAUAAGAACAUUUGGAUGUCACUUUGUAAAGAAAAUAAAUAUUCACUCUGUUAUUUUCAUAAAAUUAGUUCCUGUAAAGCUCUGAUGUCUCAAGAUGUUGGAAUUUGCAUCUAUAUGGAUAUGAGGAAAAGAUGGGAAAUGAAAACAUUCCAUUCUCUUUAAUGAUAUCAUUGAUCAGAGUGUCAUCAUCAGCAAUGAAGAAGGCAUAACAAGUGGUGUGCUCAGAUCCCACAUGCUUGGACAGGCAUAUCAGAGAAGAGCAUCCAGAAUGGUAUCUGUCCUACAGUGCUGUCCAGCAAGAGCAGUCCGAGGGCUGGUGCUUGCCUGGUCUGUAGUUGAACAGAGACCUGCAAGAUCUGUGAGCUCUCAUUGUGUUGAAAUUAAUGAUUACAUG